rnacentral:rRNA from 1 species
GACGAACGCUGGCGGCGUGCUUAACACAUGCAAGUAGAACGGAAAGGCCCUGCUUUUGUGGGGUGCUCGAGUGGCGAACGGGUGAGUAACACGUGGGUAACCUGCCCUUGACUUUGGGAUAACUUCAGGAAACUGGGGCUAAUACCGGAUAAGAGCACCUGCUGCAUGGUGUGGGUUGGAAAGUUUCGGUGGCUUGGCAUGUACUUGCGGCUUAGCUGCUUGUUGGUGGGGUAGUGGAUUACCCUUGCUUUGACGGGUAGCCGGCCUGAGAGGGUGACCGGCCACAGUGGGACUGAGAUGCGGGCCAGAGUCCUACGGGAGGCAGCAGUGGGGGAUAGUGCACAAUGGGCGGAAGCCGGAUGCAGCAACGCCGCGUGCGGGAUGACGGCCGUCGGGGUGUAAACCGCUUUCGCCUGUGACGAAGCGUGAGUGACGGUAAUGGGUAAAGAAGCACCGGCUAACUACGUG